rnacentral:rRNA from 1 species
GACGAACGCUGGCGGCGUGCCUAAUACAUGCAAGUAGAACGCUGAAGGAGGAGCUUGCUCUUCUGGAUGAGUUGCGAACGGGUGAGUAACGCGUAGGUAACCUGCCUGGUAGCGGGGGAUAACUAUUGGAAACGAUAGCUAAUACCGCAUAAAAUUGAUUAUUGCAUGAUAGUCAAUUAAAAGGUGCAAUUGCAUCACUACCAGAUGGACCUGCGUUGUAUUAGCUAGUUGGUGAGGUAACGGCUCACCAAGGCAACGAUACAUAGCCGACCUGAGAGGGUGAGAGGCCACAAUGGGACUGAGAACCGGCCCAGCCCCCUAGGGGAGGCAGAGGAAGGGAAUUUUGGGAAAGGGACGGAAGUCUGCCCGAACAACGCCGGGUGGUGGAAGAAGGUUUUCGGAUCGUAAAGCUUUUUUGUAAGGAAAGAACGGGUGUGGGAGGGGAAAGUCCACACUGUGACGGUAUCUUACCAGAAAGGGACGGCAAACUACGU